rnacentral:rRNA from 1 species
GAGACCCACGCCAACAGUUGCCAGCACGUUCUCCGGAAUGGUGGGGACACUGUUGGGACCGCCUCUGCUAAAGAGGAGGAAGGAAUGGGCAACGGUAGGUCAGCAUGCCCCGAAUUAUCCGGGCUACACGCGGGCUACAAUGGUCAGGACAAUGGGUAUCGACACCGAGAGGUGAAGGCAAUCUCUUAAACCUGUCCUUAGUUCGGAUUGUGGGCUGCAACUCGCCCACAUGAAGCUGGAAUCCGUAGUAAUCGCGGAUCAACAUUCCGCGGUGAAUAU